rnacentral:rRNA from 1 species
GUAGGGAAUCUUCGGCAAUGGGGGCAACCCUGACCGAGCAACGCCGCGUGAGUGAAGAAGGUUUUCGGAUCGUAAAGCUCUGUUGUAAGAGAAGAACGUGUGUGAGAGUGGAAAGUUCACACAGUGACGGUAACUUACCAGAAAGGGACGGCUAACUACGUGCCAGCAGCCGCGGUAAUACGUAGGUCCCGAGCGUUGUCCGGAUUUAUUGGGCGUAAAGCGAGCGCAGGCGGUUUAAUAAGUCUGAAGUUAAAGGCAGUGGCUUAACCAUUGUUCGAUUUGGAAACUGUUAAACUUGAGUGCAGAAGGGGAGAGUGGAAUUCCAUGUGUAGCGGUGAAAUGCGUAGAUAUAUGGAGGAACACCGGUGGCGAAAGCGGCUCUCUGGUCUGUAACUGACGCUGAGGCUCGAAAGCGUGGGGAGCAAACAGGAUUAGAAACCCGGGUAGUCC